UGAGGAAUUUUGCGCAAUGGGAGCAAUCCUGACGCAGCAACGCCGCGUGGGUGAUGAAGGCCUUCGGGUCGUAAAGCCCUGUCAGGUGGGAAGAAUGUCCCGGGACUGAACAGGUUCCGGGAGUGACGGUACCACCAGAGGAAGCACCGGCUAACUCCGUGCCAGCAGCUGCGGUAGUACGGAGGGUGCAAGCGUUAUUCGGAAUUACUGGGCGUAAAGCGCGUGUAGGCGGUCCUGCAAGUCUGAUGUGAAAGCCCCGGGCUUAACCCGGGAAGUGCAUUGGAAACUGUGUGACUUGAGUACUGGAGAGGAUGGGGGAAUUCCCGGUGUAGAGGUUAAAUUCGUAGAGAUCGGGAGGAAUAUCAGUGGCGAAGGCGCCCAUCUGGACGGUAACUGACGCUGAGACGCUAAAGCGUGGGGAGCAAACA
rnacentral:rRNA from 1 species